rnacentral:lncRNA from 1 species
ACCAGGAUCGUGGUGGUUGCAAGAGGUGUUGAAGAGAAUGGAGUUGUUAACGGCUUGAACAUUGCUGUUCGUGAAUGCAUUCAUGGGUGGUAAUGGGGUCCCCAUUUUGUUGUGAGCUUUGUCUUUCUUUUUCGACUUCUCUUCAUCGCUGCUACUGGCAUCGCUUCCUAAUUUGGUCCCCAACCAAGUUUUGAGGUCGGUCUUCUUGACAAGAGGGUUGGAGUUGCCUUCAGGGUCGGGUUUCUUGCGGGCGGGGCUUAGCUCCAUUACGGCUCCAGUGUUGUCACCUGCAAGCGUUAUGAUCUUCAAGCUGGCAUCCUCAGAGUCUGCUUUCUUGAGGUUAACUUUCUGGUCUUUGGUCCCCGGCUCACUCUUCUCGUAACCAGGGACAAUGCUUGGCUUCACAGAGUCGCCCACAUUACUUUGCAGCCCACCAAUGGAGGGCCUGAAUGGUGACUUGGGCUUUUCGAUGACCACAGUCUUCUGCUCAAUUGGCUCAGGAGCGGGUUUUGGCUGGGCAGGAGGCAGAGUUAGAGGAGAUGGGGGAGGAGCAUGUGGUUUGACUUUCUCAGAAGGAGGUGUGGUUUGUGCUGGAAGCCUGGACAAUAGUGGGGCUGGUGCCAAUGCCCGUGCCCAUGCCCGUCCCGGUGAUGGUGCUUGUGCCUGUGGGGGUUCUGGUGCCGGGGCCGGUACUGUGAUCGAUUCGGUGAUAACAGUGGUGGUACUGGUGGUGAUGGUAGGAAUGGUUGAGAUGACUUUGGUUGUGGGGGAAGUUGGCACUGAAGAGGAGGAGGCAGAGGUUUUGGGAGAUUUUGGAACUGGAGAUGUUGGCACGGAAGACAAUGUUGUGGCUGGAAAAGCACUAGUUGUGACCACUUUCUGGACUGGAGAUGUUGGCACUGAUGAAGUACCGUAAGGUUUCGCGACUACCGGAGAUGUUGGCACGGAUGUAGUGGUUUUCUGAAUCGGAGAAGUUGGAACUGAUACAUUCCCAACCCGGAAAGGUGGCUGCUGAGGCUGGGUUGUGGGCCUAAAUACCUGACCAAAUGAGGGUCGAAUAAUAGGUCGAGCUGCAGGAGGCUGAGGUUGUGCCUGAGGCUGAGCCUCAGGAGCUGCGGACGCAGCCGCAGGUGCUGGUGUAGGCGCUGCGGGCCUCAUGGAACCCAAGCGGAUCCAUGGGCGGGCUGGGGCAGGCUGGUUUGCCAUAAUCGAACAGAAGUAAUCUGGAGUUACUCGCCCAAAUACUUAAUCUGAAACGAAGAAAGAGACCAAG